UAUUAUUUUUUUUUUCCUACAGACCACAGGCAAUUGCUGUUCCUCUCUUUUGAAAGAAACUCCGGCUGUACCUGCUCUUUCAUCUCCUUCGUGGAAAAAUGUCUAUCGGCUGGAAGCCCUAGGAGUCUUAAUUUUCAAGGAUUUUAGUUGUAAGAUGUUCAAGGCAUGAGACACACACCACCUAUUCAACCACAGGAAGUUUGGCCAGGCAUUGCGCUAGAUGCCAGCGGAGGAUAAGAACAUGAACUGGAAGCCAAAGAUGAAGAUUAACCCUGAGCCAACAUCAGCUGCCUGUCCUCUUCUUUUUGCUGAGGAAGACUGGCCCUGAGCUAACAUCUGUGCUCAUCUUCCUCUACUUUAUAUGUGGGAUGCCUGCCACAGCAUGGCUUGCCAAGUGGUGCCAUGUCCGCACCCGGGAUCCGAACUGGCGAACCCUGGGCUGCCGAAGCGGAACGUGUGCACUUAACCGCUGUGCCACUGGGCGGGCCCCUAUUUAUACUCUUGAACUCCUUUGGUGGUGGAGAUUUCACUCCAUGAGACAAUCCAUUUCAUCUUUGGAUAGCUGAGACGGUUAAAAAGUUCUUUCC
rnacentral:lncRNA from 1 species